UAAUACGUAGGAGGCAAGCGUUGUCCGGAAUUACUGGGUGUAAAGCGCGUGUAGGCGGCAGGCCAAGUCUGUGGUGAAAUCGCUCGGCUCAACUGGGCGGGGUCCAUGGAAACUGGUCAGCUGGAGGACGGUAGAGGUGAGUGGAAUUCCCGGUGUAGUGGUGAAAUGCGUAGAGAUCGGGAGGAACACCCGUGGCGAAGGCGGCUCACUGGGCCGGUCCUGACGCUGAGACGCGAAGGCGUGGGGAGCGAACGGGAUUAGAUACCCCGGUAGUCCACGCAGUAAACGAUGCAUACUAGGUGUGGGGGGUAUCGAGCCCCUCCGUGCCGCAGCUAACGCAGUAAGUAUGCCACCUGGGGAGUACGGCCGCAAGGUUA
rnacentral:rRNA from 1 species